UACGAAGGGGGCUAGCGUUGCUCGGAUUGACUGGGCGUAAAGGGCGCGUAGGCGGUUCGUACAGUCAGACGUGAAAUUCCUGGGCUCAACCUGGGGGCUGCGUUUGAUACGUGCGGACUUGGAGUGCGGAAGAGGGUCGUGGAAUUCCCAGUGUAGAGGUGAAAUUCGUAGAUAUUGGGAAGAACACCGGGUGGCGAAGGCGGCUAUCUGGACGGUUUCUGACGCUAAGACGGCGAAAAGCGUGGGGAGCAAACAGG
rnacentral:rRNA from 1 species